rnacentral:rRNA from 1 species
UACGUAGGGUGCGAGCGUUAAUCGGAAUUACUGGGCGUAAAGUGUGCGCAGGCGGCCGAGCAAGUCGAGUGUGAAAGCCCCCGGGCUUAACCUGGGAACUGCGCUCGAAACUACUUGGCUGGAAUGUGGCAGAGGGAGGUGGAAUUCCACGUGUAGCGGUGAAAUGCGUAGAGAUGUGGAGGAACACCGAUGGCGAAGGCAGCCUCCUGGGCCAACACUGACGCUCAUGCACGAAAGCGUGGGGAGCAAACAGG